AUGGAGAUCAGCUUUAAUGUCACCUUUCAAGCUGGUUCACACAAGCUCACAGGUAGAAACAUUCUGUGUCUUGGGCCUUGUACACACUUACCACACCUGUAAGACCUGCG
rnacentral:lncRNA from 1 species